UAGAGAGGUUCGAUAACCUCUGAUAAGAGUGUCUAAGUACUUGUAACAGAGUCCAUAAAAUUUUGUAACCGUGUCCAUAAAAAUAAUACAUUUAUAAUAUUGUCCAUUAAAGUGAUACAUUUGUGUUCAAUAAUCAAAAAUAACUCUUUCGGAUUAAAAUUGUAAGCCCAUAGCAACAUUAUUUAAGAUACAGAUUUGUGCUUGACUUGUACUUUUUACUCUUCCUUUCAGCAUGUUCAAGGGAAUAUUUCUUUGCGUAUUUUUUGCUGUGCUCAUUGCAAACUCAAUGGCACAGCCAGAAGGCUUUGCAGAUGAAGAUGAUGUAAACAAACGAGAUGUCAGAGGAUUUGGAAGUUUUCUGGGUACACUUUUUAAGACUGCUGCAAAAAUCAUUCCAGGUUUGCUAUCAUCAAGACAAGAACGGGAAGCCUUUGCUGAUGAAUUGAAGAGGGCGAUCUAAUUUGAAUGGAUAGUCUGGGAACAGCAGAGCAGCACUGUCCUUUUGAGACAUCUGAAAAUUUGGCUGAAAAUAUUCAGAAUUAAAAAAAGACCUGUUUCUGCUAAAGGAUAAAUAAACUGAAUUGAGC